rnacentral:pre_miRNA from 1 species
UUUGGCAGAGCGACCCACCAGUUAAGUGAAUGCUUUGCCACAGUCUUAGACAUUGUAAGCUGGGCCGAGGUUCGCUUAGGCUGGAGGGCGCCGACAUCGGGUC